rnacentral:rRNA from 1 species
CAAAGAACUUUGAAGAGAGAGUUCAAGAGGGCGUGAAACCGCUGGGAUUGAAACGGAGAGAGUUGACGAAACUCGGUAGUAUUCAGCUGCGCGUCGGUGUGCCGUUCGUGAUCGCAACCCUCUCGUAGGGAGCGUAGCGAGCGGUCGGAUCCGAUGUGCGUGCAUUUGCUGCCGGUGUGCGCCGAGACUCUUGAUGUGUUGCGCUGAACCGCAUCGUGUUGCCCACAUUAGUGGUGUCUUGCGUUACGGGUAGGUGUGGCGCGUUAAGAGUGGUUGCUGACGAUUCCCGCUAGCGCCGAUGCGUGGCGUUUUGGCGUGCUUUUGUGGCGGUCGCAUGCGACUUGUCGCUUGAGUGCGUUGGGACGUUGCGUUUUGGCGAGGAGUUGUUUCUCGGUGUAACCGUCGAUCACCUCUCCGACCCGUCUUGAAACACGGACCAAGAAGUCUAGCAUGUGCGCGAGUCAUUGGGUGGUAAACCUAAAGGCGUAAUGAAAGUGAAGGUUGCGUAAGCGACUGAUAUGGGAUCUGUGCGGUUCGCCGUGCAGCGCACCAUAGCCCCGUCCUGUCUGCUUGCAGUAGGGCGGAGGAAGAGCGUACACGCUGGGACCCGAAAGAUGGUGAACUAUGCCUGAGCAGGAUGAAGCCAGAGGAAACUCUGGUGGAGGUCCGAAGCGGUUCUGACGUGCAAAUCGAUCGUCUGACUUGGGUAUAGGGGCGAAAGACUAAUCGAACCAUC